rnacentral:rRNA from 1 species
UACGUAGGGGGCAAGCGUUGUCCGGAAUCAUUGGGCGUAAAGCGCGCGUAGGUGGCCUCAUAAGUCCGCUGUGAAAGUCAAAGGCUCAACCUUUGAAAGCCGGUGGAUACUGUGAGGCUAGAGUACGGAAGAGGCGAGUGGAAUUCCUGGUGUAGCGGUGAAAUGCGCAGAUAUCAGGAGGAACACCUAUGGCGAAGGCAGCUCGCUGGGACGGUACUGACGCUGAGGCGCGAAAGCGUGGGGAGCGAACAGG